rnacentral:rRNA from 1 species
UACGUAGGGAGCGAGCGUUGUCCGGAAUUACUGGGCGUAAAGGGCGCGUAGGCGGGUUGGUAAGUUGUAUGUGAAAUCCCCGGGCUCAACCCGGGACGUGCAUACAAAACUGCCGAUCUUGAGUGCGGUAGAGGGAAGUGGAAUUCCUAGUGUAGCGGUAAAAUGCAUAGAUAUUAGGAGGAACACCGGUGGCGAAGGCGACUUCCUGGGCCGUAACUGACGCUGAGGCGCGAAAGCGUGGGGAGCAAAC